AAGAACCUAUUUAUGACAAAAAUCCACUGAAAAUACAUACAUGUUAGUUAGUACCUCAAGGGCCGUAGCAGUCUUCUAUGGGGUGUCCCAAAACACGAUGAUAGAGACAGUAGGGGUGGUGUCCCAACGCGAUCGACCGAUACUGGCUCCAUACGGAUACAACAAAAUACUGUAUGGAACCCGAACCUCGCAAACUUAGGUUCGGAAAACUUUAAAGAUUUCUGGGGAAGGGAAGGUUUCCCCAUAUGAAAGAGUCAUUCGAGUAGGCACGUCAGCUGGUGGAGGUUCUGGCCUUGGUCCCUGUGAAAGGUCCUAUUGCUUAUAUAGGGCUUUCUAAAUUCCUAUUAUACCUUUUUCAUGGCCUGCUCCAUAUCUUAUCUUGCUGCCUUUG
rnacentral:lncRNA from 1 species